GUCACAAGCUGCUCUGGGCUGGAGCAAAGCACUGGUUUGGGCAAAGCCUGCAAACAGGAUGCUGUUUCCUAAGUGAAAACACAGGCAGGUCCCCUCCCCUAGCAGGUGGCUCUAGGAUGUGCUCUCUGAGCUGCUCAUGUGCCACAGCUGAGCCUAAUGGGCCCUGCCAGGUGGAGGUGCACGGCAGCAGUACUCAUGGAGACCUUUGCUGCUGCGGCUGCAAGGUCGGAAAGAAGACUGACCAGAGCAGGACUCUUUCUGUUGCUUUCCUCCAGAGUUAAAAGGAGAGGUACUCUGCACUCAGCUGUUCCUCUGAUUGCACCCAGUCAGCCAGCUGCUGGAAUAACAACCACAACAAAAUGUCAUUUCUCCCAUGACAAGUAAUGAUGAUGCCUCCUGGAAAGGAUGCCCAAGUGAAAACUUGCUGCUAAGAUGACCCAGGCUUGCUGCCUACCAAAGCCAGGCCCACUGCCAGGCUGCUCAUGCCUCUCAGAAGCAAUCUAAAAGCAGAGCAGAAGCUCAGCCUGUACCCGAGAUGAUUAAAACCAAUGUCAACAGCAAAGCUGACAACUCCCUUGUCUUAGAAAAUGGCUGUGAGGGGUUUGCCUUUGCUGGAUUCCCCUCAGUGGUUCAGAACAGUAAGUACAGAUGUAGUGAGGAGAGCAGGUUUGCUUAGGCAGCAGCUGAAGCCACCUGGAGCCCUCGGCAUGGGGUGAGGCUUUCUGGAGCUUAUGGACUUCUCCUGGGCACGGAAUGAGAGCUGCAACCAAGUGAAGCACUGGGGAAGUGAGCAGCCAUAACCCCUGUGCCUGGGAGGGUAAGCCACCGACAGGGGCAGCCCUGCAAAGUGGGGCUUGGCACAGCCACGGUGCUGUGCUGCGGAUGGAGGGAAAAUAGAACUCGAUGGAGAGGGGAAGUCAUGAGUCAGAGCAGCAGAGGAGGAGUGCAGCUCCACAAGCACUGGCCGUGUGCUGGCAGAGCUGCAAAGGACAGCUCCCCCCUCAGGGCUCACCCUGGAGCUCUAAAUGGCACGAUCAAUACGUGCUUAAUUCUUAAUAGCCACACGCAGGGCGAGUCCCACAUCCCAGCUGGGUCACAGGCAGCCAAGAAGGACAAGGCAGCAGAGCUUGUGGUGCCACUGAGCUGGCAGCCCGCAGUGCCUGCGGGGCCAGGGUCGCAGAAACCCAACUGGACAGACUCCAAAAGAGGCUGCAGCAUCUCCUGCUCGACAAGGUAGGCACUAGGAGCUGCUGGAAGGAUGCUGAAGUGCUCAGGGGUGCUGAGGUCUGGGUGCUGUGGGUUUCUAAGGCUAGCUCAGGAGCAACCUCUGCAGUGUCAGAAACACUGGGAAACCUGAAAGCUGCAGGGAGCUCCCUCGGGUGUCUGCUCCUUUAUAAGCCCUGCCCUGUGACUCAGCUGCCCAGGCAGUGCUGGGCUGAACACUGAGCACUUGGCUGAACAGUCUUUGUUUGAACGUUGGUUCACCUCACAGCAGCUUCAGCUGAGUUUCUGGGUUCAGUCAGAGCAUCCUGCAUGCAAACUCCCAACUUUAUCAGGAAACAUCCACUGGGAGUUCACUCUGCAGCCCCAAACCUAACAAAAGCACUCUCUGAAGAA